rnacentral:sRNA from 15 species
UUGAACGUGAAGGAUAACGUUGCGUCAGCAACGGCCCGUAGGGCGAGGCGAAGCCGAGUCAUCCUGCACGACCCACCA